rnacentral:rRNA from 1 species
CCUACGGGAGGCAGCAGUGAGGAAUAUUGGUCAAUGGACGAGAGUCUGAACCAGCCAAGUAGCGUGAAGGAUGACUGCCCUAUGGGUUGUAAACUUCUUUUAUAUGGGAAUAAAGUGUUCCACGUGUGGGCUUUUGUAUGUACCAUAUGAAUAAGGAUCGGCUAACUCCGUGCCAGCAGCCGCGGUAAUACGGAGGAUCCGAGCGUUAUCCGGAUUUAUUGGGUUUAAAGGGAGCGUAGGUGGAUUGUUAAGUCAGGUGUGAAAGUUUGGGGCUCAACCGUAAAAUUGCAGUUGAAACUGGCAGUCUGGAGUACAGUAGAGGUGGGCGGAAUUCGUGGUGUAGCGGUGAAAUGCUUAGAUAUCACGCAGAACUCCGAUUGCGAAGGCAGCUUACUAAGUCAUAACUGACACUGAAGCACGAAAGCGUGGGGAUCAAACAGGAUUAGAUACCCGGGUAGUC